UGUCGAUGCCCAACGUCAUCUCAGUGUGGUUGUGUCGCGCUGACGGGAGUAGGGAAGCUACGGCCGCUCGAGGGUUUUCUCCCUUCUUACAGUACGAAUCUCGGCCGUAUCGUGAACGGGUGCACGCUUGCAUUACCUCCGUGUGUUGCUGUCCUUUCGUAUACAAUCCUGUGUGAUCGCUGUGGGAUAAAUAAUAAGAAAGAUAGAAAAAAAGUAAGUCCGUAGAACACGAAGUCGUGCACUUCGACCAUUGGAUAUAGAUUUAAUUAAAAUAUCUGUUACGAUUUUGUGUGCAUCGGGUGUUAUUGCAAACGGAUCUCUGGAAAAUAAGGAAAAAUUAUCGGUUUUUAAGGCUACACGAGCUGCGUGUACUGGUGUAGGAGGAGUGAUAGUAUGGUUGUCGAAGAAACAAUGGUUCUCUAAAGCUCAGGUGCGGCUGCAGAACGCACUUUGGUGAAUAUCUUGGAAGAUUCACCAUGGCUCCCUCCAUCCAACACUCGAAAAUGGCUCGCCGGGUUCUGUUGCAAAGCCUGGCAGUCCUUCUGGUCACUCACGCCCACGCUACUGCUUCCAGUGAGUAUAACACGCAGUCGCCUCACACCGGAAGUCCAAACCACAGGGCGACGGUAUGUUAAUCUUCCAGGUAGCGCGGGUAUCCACUCGGCAGGGAGGUUCAGCGCUCGAGUGGUACGCCGUCUAGACAUGUCAUGUAAACUGUAUAUUGGAGAGUAUUACGGGAUCGCUAAUCCAUCGUUGUAACAACAACACGGCGUGGAGUUUCCUAACGCGGAUGCAAUAUUUCAUUACGAUAUGCUGUGCUAGAACGGUAUCAGUGGUACAUCAGUGUCGCGGUUAAUAUCUAGUUUAUGAAACUAGAUGUUGAUUCUUAGAGAAUUCUGAAAAAAAAACCUUGAUUAAAAGGAGAUAGAGGGAAAGAGAGUAAAUAGGAAUGAUGUUAAUGACAAUGAGGAUAGUAGU
rnacentral:lncRNA from 1 species